UUCAGGAUGAUCGCUUUUAUUGCAUUUUUGACAUGGAAAAUCAUCUACAUCUUCUGCAUCGGAUUCUAAAAAUCGCAGUUUCAUAUUAGCAAUAGAUAUUUUAAUGUGCCAUUAGAGUAUAAAAUUAUGCUUAAAAAUGCGUUUUUUUUCUCAGGUGUUUACUUGUUGACAACUGUCAUGUACAAACUACGUCAUCGAACAGUAUUUAAACAAGUAACAUUUAAUUUUUGUCCGUUUAAUUACAAAAUCUGAGACAAAAUUGAUGUUUCUGAAUGAGAAGACCAUUACUGCCGAACUGGUCGUUCGGUAUUGUGAUCAAGAAUUAAAUAUUACCGGACCGACUUUGCAGCGAAUUUUGACGACAAGUGUCCCUAAGGAAGCCGAUAUACAGUGCGAGUUUCUAACUUGGAAUAAAUUCACUAAAUCAAAGGGUAUCUAAAAUGUGAGAUAUGAAGUCAUCGAAUUUUUUGUUUAAAA